UACGUAGGGUGCAAGCGUUUGUCCGGAAUUAUUGGGCGUAAAGAGCUCGUAGGCGGUUUGUCGCGUCUGGUGUGAAAAUCCAGGGCUUAACCCUGGACCUGCAUCGGGUACGGGCAGACUAGAGUGCGGUAGGGGAGAUCGGAAUUCCUGGUGUAGCGGUGAAAUGCGCAGAGUAUCAGGAGGAACACCGGUGGCGAAGGCGGAUCUCUGGGCCGUAACUGACGCUGAGGAGCGAAAGCAUGGGGAGCGAACAGG
rnacentral:rRNA from 1 species